GCCAGCAGCCAUAUCAGCCCACACAUCACACCUGGCAGCCCACUGAAGCCCAGCAGGUGUGAGCCUGGUCAGUACCUGGAUGGGAGACUCCUGGGAAGCUCAGGUUGCUGCUGGAA
rnacentral:rRNA from 1 species